rnacentral:rRNA from 1 species
UACGUAGGGACCAAGCGUUGUCCGGAAUCAUUGGGCGUAAAGAGCGUGUAGGCGGCUCGGUAAGUCCGCUGUGAAAGUCCAGGGCUCAACCCUGGAAUGCCGGUGGAAACUGUCGAGCUAGAGUCCGGAAGAGGCGAGUGGAAUUCCUGGUGCAGCGGUGAAAUGCGUAGAGAUCCGGAGGAACCCCAGAGGCGAAGGCGACGCCCUGGCUCGUACCUGACGCUCAGCCACGAAAGCAUGGGGAGCGAACGGG